UCCCAUGUGUCUAGUGGUUAGAUUCCUGGCUUUCACCCAGGCGGCCCGGUUUCGAUUCUCCGCAUGGGAA
rnacentral:tRNA from 1 species